GACGAACGCUGGCGGCGUGCUUAACACAUGCAAGUCGAACGAAAGGACGGGAAGAGCUUGCUCUUUCCGGAAUUGAGUGGCAAACGGGUGAGUAACACGUAAACAACCUGCCUUCAGGAUGGGGACAACAGACGGAAACGACUGCUAAUACCGAAUAAGUUCCAAGAGCCGCAUGGCCCAUGGAAGAAAAGGUGGCCUCUACCUGUAAGCUAUCGCCUGAAGAGGGGUUUGAGAGGAUGAUCAGCCACAAUGGGACUGAGACACGGCCCAUACUCCUACGGGAGGCAGCAGUAGGGAAUUUUGCGCAAUGGGCGAAAGCCUGACGCAGCAACGCCGCGUGUGUGAUGACGCCCUUCGGGGUGUAAAACACUGUCAGUAGGGACGAAUUUUGACGGUACCUACAGAGGAAGCACCGGCUAACUCCGUGCCAGCAGCCGCGGU
rnacentral:rRNA from 1 species